rfam:Ovis aries breed Texel chromosome 8, whole genome shotgun sequence.
UCCCUGGCAGCUCAGAUGGUAAAGCAUCUGCCUCCAAUGCAGGAGACUCAGGUUCAAUCCCUGGGUUGGGAA